CAGAUGGGGAUAACUCCGGGAAACCGGGGCUAAUACCGAAUAAUCAGUUUGCCCGCAUGGGCGAACUCUGAAAGACGGUUUCGGCUGUCACUGUAGGAUGGGCCCGCGGCGCAUUAGCUAGUUGGUGGGGUAAUGGCCUACCAAGGCAACGAUGCGUAGCCGACCUGAGAGGGUGAUCGGCCACACUGGGACUGAGACACGGCCCAGACUCCUACGGGAGGCAGCAGUAGGGAAUCUUCCACAAUGGACGAAAGUCUGAUGGAGCAAUGCCGCGUGAGCGAAGAAGGUUUUCGGAUCGUAAAGCUCUGUUGUAAGGGAAGAACAAGUACGGGAGUAACUGCCCGUGCCAUGACGGUACCUUAUUAGAAAGCCACGGCUAACUACGUGCCAGCAGCCGCGGUAAUACGUAGGUGGCAAGCGUUGUCCGGAAUUAUUGGGCGUAAAGCGCGCGCAGGCGGUUCUUUAAGUCUGAUGUGAAAGCCCACGGCUCAACCGUGGAGGGUCAUUGGAAACUGGAGAACUUGAGUACAGAAGAGGAAAGCGGAAUUCCACGUGUAGCGGUGAAAUGCGUAGAGAUGUGGAGGAACACCAGUGGCGAAGGCGGCUUUCUGGUCUGUAACUGACGCUGAGGCGCGAAAGCGUGGGGAGCAAACAGGAUUAGAUACGCUGGUAGUCCACGCCGUAAACGAUGAGUGCUAAGUGUUAGGGGG
rnacentral:rRNA from 1 species